ensembl:lncRNA
CCCCCCCCCCCCCAUCUCCAUGCAUUAACAUGCGAGGCGCCCGCUGACCUUUCUUUGCACUGCGUGUUGGGGAGGAGCGCAGCGCAGCGCGGGCUGCGGGCGGAGGGGACGGCGAUGCAGCUUCUAAUUUUGCCAUUACUGUCACAGGGGCCAUUUGUCACCCAGCCCGGGGAGACUCCACGCAUGGACAGACAGCAGCCCUUCCAGUGCUCCUCGUUGAGAUCGGGGUGGGGGGGGGGGGGGCUUUACCCAGCGUGGGAAGGGUGGGGAGUGGGUUUCAAUCACUGCGCUGAGCCAAAAAGGGGAGAAAAGACCCCAAAAGGCCGCCGACAGCCACCACCACCAUGCAAUCCAAUGGCAUUUUGGGGGUAAGCAAGAUGGAUGGCGCAUCCCUGGGUGUCGUCCCCCCCCCCCCCCCUUCCUCGCUGCGUGCCCCCAUCUGAAGAGCAGAAGCGAUCGCCCUCCAUCCAGAUAUUAAUUCUCCUAUUAGAUUAAAUAACGCGAAGGGUUGUGCUGCUUUCAUUACGCGUCGUGGGCGAGCGAGCUGCCUGCAGCCUCUGCCUCCUCCUCGCCUCCCGCCAGCAGAGCACUAAUUAAGCAACAGGCAGGAGAGAUGCUCGUCUGCCUCCCGCCCUUUAUUAAUUGCUGGUUCGCUUUCGGCGCCGUGCAGCUUUGCUUCACCUCUGCUCGCUUUUUGGCCGCUCCCUCACAGCAGGGAUUUGCUGCUGCUGCUCACACCCAUUGGCUUUCAUCACCAAAAAGGCCCAAAUACCCCCUAUGGGCAUUUCCCUCGUGGCGGAGAAACAGGCGGUGCCACCCGACGCGACGCAAGCCCCAAACCAGGGGGCUUUUGACGGCCUUUUGGCACUCUCCAACCCACCUAUUUCAGGAGGGACACCAUUGCAAGCUCAGCUCUUCGGGCUUUAAGCCCAACUGGCGGCACUCAGCUCCUUUCAACACCGCACCUCUACUUUGCAGCGCCGCCGGAGCUCUGCAGCGCCCGCACGGCCGUCGGCCCUCUCUGCAAACGAAGGCUGCGCCGGGCCGCGGGACGCCGUGCGUUUAAAUCCGAGCGCACCUUUCCCUUCUCCUCCCAUCCCUGCCGUCUCUCAGCACCUCUCCCUGCCCGUCCUCCCCCCGCAGCCGGGAAGCGCGGCGCUGCGUCCCGUAAGCCGGGGAUGUGCGGGGAGUCGCUCCCUCGGAGGGCGAUGCUCUUCCCGACCCGGUUCGGCUCAGCAACCUGCGGGAAGGAGAGAUGGAUUCUGCCCCGACCGCCGAGGGAGAGGCAGUAAAUCACUUCCCAUUGACCGAGGAGUGCUUUCGUUCCGAGCAGAGUGCACUUUGCAUGCAUUUUGCAUGCGCUUCCAGCGCACUUUAAAUUAAUGCACUCUCGACUCAAAGCCUCUGCUAAUUCACAUUUCCCUGCACGAGCGUUCCCCUGUAGAUGUGGUUCCCGACCCAAAGCCCUUUGCAGAUGGGCGGGGAGCCUCCACGUUGUCUUCCACCCUCAACCCGGGGCUAAAUUAACCGAGCUAAUCGCCCUUACGGCCACGCGUGGGGUGCGGGGGGACGCAGCGAAACACAUCCUGCCACGCUGCUUCCAUCCCGAUGCUCGCCCUAUAAGCGCCCUGCCUGCGGGCUGUGGGGCAGCUCUGGGCUCUGCCCUCCGCCUCCCAGAGGGAAAUAAUUCAUCUCGCUGCCCUCCUGCUGACUCUCUCCUGCAUUGAUCCGCUGCCAAUUGGCUGCUCUGCGAGAGGAGCGAGGGUGGAGGCUGCAGGAUUCACUGCCGAUGUUGUAAGGACAAAGUCAAGGGGACCGCGCUCUUCUCAGAAACGCAUCCAGGCUGAUUUUGGGAAGAGGGGACGUUUGGGGUCCGGCUGCUGCGUGAUCCCACGUGGCGAUGCUCUUGGUGUGGGAUGCAUUGGGCCCUCCUCUCGACCCCCCUUUACACGAGCAGCAUUGCGAAGGCUGGGAGGUGAUGAUGGUCCUGUCCUCAUUUUGAACCAGAGGGGUGAGACGUAAUGGCACUCAUUAGCUGUGUGCACUUUCCAUCUGCACAGCGUUGGUCAUUCAGGAGACGUGCCUAAAUAAGGAGCUCCGUGCCCCAAAUUCUCUGCACUCAAUGAAGAGAGAAAUCAGCACCUUCGGGUCUACGCUGUGGUGCUAAUUGCAAACCCCCCAUGAAUCCCCCACUGAGGAGAGAGGAACCUUCAGAGCAGUGCCCCAAAUGUGUCUCCUCUCUUGGAAUGGAUCAUUGGACUCAACCCAAGGGUGGUUUGUUGGCAGAGCUGGAGGGCUGCUGCCCUGUGACGGUGGAAUGGAGCAGUUUGACUCAACCCAAUUGGUUGGCAAAGCCAGAAGGGACGUCGUCCUUCUAUACUGGAAUGGAAAGUGGGACUCAACCCAAUGCUGAUUGGCUGGCAAGACCAGAUGGGUUCUGCCCUUUGAUACUGGAGUGGAAAGUGGGACUCAACCCAAUGCCGGCUGGUUGGCAAGGUCAGAUGGAUGCUGCCCUUCGACAACGCAAUGGAACAGUUUGACUCAACCCGAUGCGUAUUGGUUGGCAAGAUCGGAUGGAUGCUGCCUUCAAUACUGGAAUGGAACACGGGACUCAACCCAACACUGGUCUGCUAGAAAAAAUGAACAGACGCUGCCCUUUGGGAAAGCAGUUGAAGCUCAUCUGUAGCACUCCCUGGGAAAUGAGGGAGCUCGUGGUGCUGGCGCAGGUCAUGGGGUGGAUGGCUCUGGUUGCUGCCGUACCAUAAAUCCUGGCCAGGCGAGCCUGGCGGCACCGAGAGGUACCCACAAAGGGACAUCCAUCACGUUAACCCAAAUCAACCUUUAAAAUGGAUUAGCCAGAGCACAUAAAACCCCAUUCUGGACACUUAGCCAGAAUUAGAGUUGGUUUAAUUCACUUGAGCUUAAUUCGCAAAGCUAAACCGAAUUAAGGCUGGCUGCGUUCGGAACGAGCAGCUCCACGCGUGGAGUUUAAUGUGAUUUACAUCGCCUGCUCUCCAUCCACACCUCUGGGUGAUCUAUGUGCCACCGGGGAGCAGAGCUGGCAGGGAAUGCAGGGAACGUUGCCACGCCGCUGCCAGGACCGAACAUCGCUGCAGGGUCACCGAGCCCUGGAGCAGCACGGAGGGAGGAGACGCUUCCAGUUCUCUUCUUGCAGCAGUGGGAGGGAUGGAAGGGACCCUCCAACCCCCCGAUGAAAUUAUAUCUACAUCGGCUGGAAUUCGGCUCUCGUUGACCCCAUCAAACCAGGGAAAUGCCUCCAUUGGGGCUCUGAGGAGGUUUCUUGUCUUCUCCUUAUUAAUCACAGGGAAGAAAGCGGGUCCCUUCCCCUCCCAUAAAUCUUGCUGCAGCGUUGGCCGGACGCUUGGCUCGCUGCCUCCGUGCUCUGCUCCUACAGGGGAUGAAUUGGGGAGGAAGAAGGGAGUUCCUGCACUGCUGUGUGCAGCUCUGGGCUCCUGCGGGGUGCUAAGCACACACUUAAUGCUGAGCAAAUGUUUCCAUGCUUCGUUGAGCCCGGGCAUUAAAAUCGUAAGGUUUGCUUUAAACUUCUGCCCUGCAUUUGCUCGAGCCUGAGGAUUUAUGGCUGGGGUUUGUGUGGAUGGGAAGAGGAGAAAUUUUAUCUGCUUGGGGAGAAAUGAGGCUCUCGUCCUCCCCACCCUGAUUGGUGCCCGCUGGUAACAUGCUGAGAAACCCCAAAGCACUGAACCUGGGGGGGUAUUAUGACCAUUUUCUGUUACCCACAGAGCAUCCGUAACCCUGAUGGACCACUGCGAGUGGAAAACCAGCGACCACCAACCCCACCUCUCCCUGUUUGUCAGUGAUGGAGGCGAUGGGCUCCGCUUCCCAUCAGCACACUUCGUCUUAUGGCACGUUUGGCUUCCAUCCAUUUCCACCUGGGACGAAAGGAGGGGAAAAUGUGGGGGUGUGGAGAUGGGGAAGGGGCUGGCACCGCUCCCUGUGCCCCCACCUCUUCCAAAUAGGGCCGAAAUGUCUCCAACUCCUUCACGUCUCCGAAAUGUCUCCUUUCCAUUAGUGGAUGGGCACCUAUUGAAGGAUCUCAGCUGAGGGAAUUCAAAUGGUUCUAACGCAAACCGCCCUCACGGUAACCAUUAUGGUCCCUUAAAAACAUUUCAUUACGAAGGCAAGCGUAUGUUUUAGCAAUGCUCAGAUGACUCCUCAGUGUCAGGUUUAUCCCAGGCCGGGCGCUUCUCAGAAUGAAUGAGUUGAUGAGAUCCAAGUUCUCCCUUUGUUUAAUGGACUUUAAGUUGUUUAAAUCAUUGGCUUCACUUAAACCCCGCACUUAAAGCAGGGCUGUCUAUUUCUCUCCAUUAAAAGUUCAUCCAUCAUGGAAUGAGUCUUUCCGGAAAGCCCCAAUGGUGAACCAAAAGGUCCCACACCAUGUCACAGCUCUGGGUUGGGUGUUUUCACACGGCGUGAGCCAUUUCCUGGCAGAAGGGGCCCAAAAUCACCACCCCAGGUAGUGGGGUUGGUGCUGCACCACGUGGUGACACCACUGGGCUUUGUAUGGGUUGAAAUGUUGGAUAACAGAGUUGGACCGGAGUGCCCACGCAACCCAACCGAUGUGAGGACGCAUGGAUGCUUCACCAUCCACAGCCACUGCUAAACCCAAGGGCUUUCUUCUAAAACAUGCCCCCAGCCAUGAAACCCAAGGGCUUUCCUCUCAAAUACAUCCCCAGCCAUGAAACCCAAGGGCUUUCCUCUCAGAUAUACCCCCCAGCCAUGAAACCCCCGCCAUUUCCUCACACAUACAUCCCUUGGCUCGGCCUUGGGAAGCCAUGCAGCGCAACCCCAUCGAUUACCAUCAUCCUUCCCAUUCCCUUUUACACCCACGAAGCUCAGAGGUGCCCCCACCACCCCCAGAGCCCGCAGCAGUCAUCCAUUGCCAACUGACUUUGUGUUCUCCUUGCGACGUCGGCGCGCGCGCGCGGCGCAGAUGUAAAUACAUCCCGGCUGUCCUGCUUUGAUUCAUGCUUUGGUAUCGGAUCGCGUGCGCCUCCCUGGACGCCAUAAAUCUCCUCGGGGUAACUCCACCUGAAUUGCUCUUUGUGUGCGUUGCAGGUCGGGAUGAGGAACUGCUCUGCAGGGGAGCCUCUCGCCAGCGCCGUGUUUCCAUUCGCCUGCGCGGAUCGACGUCUGCGGUGGGAGGGAAUUGGGGUAGGGGCAGCCCGGCGUCUCCGGUGUGGAGCUCGGAGGGAGACAGAAAAGUGCUUUUUGGGGACCUGAUGGGUUACAAAUCACAAAUCUUUUGUCCCCACCCCCGUGGGGAGCAGGAAUGGGGUCAGGGCAGCCCGUGGUUGAAUGUCUCCUUGCGUUUGCCAUCGCCCUGCAGCACCCGGAGUCAUUUGGCUGAGUAGAAGACGAGGUCCCCCUGAAGUGGAUGCUUGGGGUCCCACAAAGCCAACAAAACUCAACCAGCCCAGAGCCAUCUCACCACGCUGCGACCAUCUCAGAGCCAAAAGUGGCCCUCAGGGCUCACACGAUGCCAUGGGAGCACCUCAAGGGUGUGCUGGGACAUCCUCAUGUGGACGUGGAACCUGGCCUUGGCCAACAGGGGUUUCUCAAGGCUCACAUGGCUCAAUGGGAAUGCCUCUAAGAUGUUUUGGGACAUCCUCAUGUGGACGUGGAACCUGGCUUUGGCCCACAGUGGUCCUCCAGGCUCUCCCAGUGCCAUAAGAACAUCUGUAGGGUGCAGUGGGAGAUCCUCCUACGGACAUGGAAGCUGGGCUUGGCCAACAGUGGUCCUCCAGGCUCAUGUGAUGCCAUGGGAACACCUCUGGGGUGUAAUGGGGAAUCUUCAUGUGGACAUGGAACCCAGUCUUGGCCAACAGAGGUCCUCCAGGCUUGCACCAUGGGAGCACCUCUGGGAUAUACUGGGACAUCCUCGUGUGGGGAUGGGGACACUCAGUCACAGCAACCGGUGCCGACGUCCCCAACCUGGAACACAGAGAGAAGAGGCCACAUCCUGCCCGAGGCCACCACCUUCCCCAUCCACCCACUCCUUCAGCUCCAGAAAUACCCUGACAUGGGACACUCUGUAUCUCAGAGCUCUCCCCCCAACCAUCCACAGCGCCACGGAGCAAAGCCUGGGUGAGAAACACGUCCGGAUGGGGCUGAGCUCACAGUUCAGGGCGCCUUCCAGCCAAAGGAAGGGAUUCUUUUAUGGAAUCCUGGAGGAAAAAAAGGGACUGCAGCACCCAUGGGCUGCCAGGAAGAGUGAGAUUCGUACUGCACAAAAGAUAGGAGAGGAUCACAGAGCACAAAGCCCUCAACGUCUUCCAUUAUAUCCACGAGAAUUAAAAGACAUGGAGCGAGCAUUGAGAACCCGCCGGCUUAAUAACAGAAGUAAAAAGUUGUUAAUCAGGCACGUGACCCUAUAAAAUAAAGGGAAUAAUUGAAAAGAUAUCUAAUUUAUCUAUUGAAUGCCUCCAACGCUCUCUUUAUCACCGAGAUGGACAGAAUAUAAUUGGUGCGGUGAAAGCCAUCAAUCUUAGGAAGUGGGCUUUCUGUACAAGAUACAACUAUUACUGUCAUAUUAUGACACCAUAAUAUCAAGAUCAAUGACAUUUUAAACGCACUCCAGUUAUGGGCAAUUGGUGACAAUAAAAACAGUGACAAAUUGAUGAAACAAGAGCCAAAUGAUCCGGCGUCUAAAAUAAACCAUAAAUAAUCUUCUUAAAAUAUAUAGAGAGAUAUAUCCACCGAACUCGCUGUGGUUGGGGGGCGGUGAUUCCUUCCACCCGAGGUCUCCAAUGGGCCACCGUUCUCAGGAAGGGGAAGCUUCCCCUUUUGAUUUAAGGGUCAUUCCCAUGCGGUUUAAUGAUGUUAUCGUUAGCAUAAUUGUUGCCAUAAAAAGGAAGGUUACGGUUUCGAAGGGCUGAGGAGCCAACGCGACGGCACAGUAAACAGCGGCACCGUUUCUAGAUCUUAUGGCACCAGGAUGGUGAUAUUCCCUCAGGGCCUCCGUGGGCCUUAAAUAAAGAUAAUAACAACCACAGCAAUUGUGUCCGGAGCUCUGCAGAGCGCUCUGAUUGCAGUUAUGGGGACAGCAUUUGGGUUUUUUUAUAUAGAAGGGGGGGAUGGGGGUCAGGGAGGCUGAAAUCCGACAGAUCCAUUCUUCUUCUGAAACCCAAUGAGGUUGGAAAAGACCUCCAAGACCAACAUUACAACCCCAACCCAUUCCCACCAUGAUCACUCAUCGAAUCAUGGAGUCAUUAAGGUUGGAAAUGACCUCUGAGACCAUUGAGUCCAAACCCAACCCAUUCCCACCAUGCUCACUCGUCAAAUCAAGGAGCCAUUAAGGUUGGAAAAAGACCUCCAAGACCAACAGUCCAACCCCAACCCGUUCCCACCAUGCUCACUCAUAGAAUCAUGGAGUCUUAAGCUUGGAAAAGAGCUCCAACACCAACAACCCAACCCCAACCCCCCACUGUGCCCACUAAAACAAGGCUUGGCGUCUCACUGCACCCAAUGGAGGCCGUGCAUUGUGGACAUGGCUCUGCCCAACGGCCACCGUUCUCCAGUGGCUGAGCAUUGAGCCAUUUAAGCUCUGAAAAUAAUAAUGAAAAUAAUAAUGAUUUGUUUAAAAAGGGGGAGAAAACAGGGAAAAUCUCUCCAGUUUAUGAGUAAACAUCCCCCCAAAAAAGGAAAGCAAAUGGAGGGGAUGUCCUCAGUGCUGCUGGGGUGGGUGCAGAGGAGUGGAGCUGCCUGGUUCUGCCUCCGACUCGCUCCUUCUCCUCUAUAUUUGAUAAUCACCCCAAAACUGACACCACAAUGCGGUGCAAAAUGGCUCAGAAAUGGAAACAACCCCAACCCCGGCCCAGCUCCACGCUCCGCUCGGAUUCUUUUGGGAUGAAUCCAUGCCAGAACCAUCGUGGCUCUCAGCAGCUCAUUCCCCCGCGGCUCCACGUGUCGUUGCCAACGACAUGUGGUCCUCAGCCUCAUUCUGGGGUGAAUGGCCCCAAAAGCGUCUGCAGGGACUCAGCACGGAGCCUCGGGGUGGGGGGUGAUGGAAAAUCCCACCUCAGGAUCCUCCGCUCUGAGCCAGGGGGGGAUUUGAGGGCUGGGUGGGCGCUGGGGGAAGCGUUGGGGUCUCCGCAGGAAGAUGUGAGGUGGGGGAAGGCUGUGGUUUGUGUGCAGGGAGGAACCUGAGGGGAAACUGAGGCACAGCUGUGAUCCGAAGGGGAAACUGAGGCAGGGAAGCGGAUAGGGAGGAUGAAGAGGGGACCCCACUCCGCUGCCUCAGCUCCAUUGGAAGCCGCCCCCUGAGCCCCCCUGGCCUUCACAGCACACCUCGGUGACCACCCCUAAGGAGCAGCCGAAGCUCCAGCAGAAUUAAACACCGGGAGAUGGAGCAGCAAAGCAUCACUCAGCCCACGCUGAUAGCGAGCGGCUCUAAUGCUGAAAUAUGGGCCGUUUAGGGGAAGCCAACCCAUCUCCCUGCAAAGAAAAAAUAAUAUCAUACCAACACAACAACUUGCAGCUUGAUAAAAGAUACGCCGGGUAAAUACAUUAAUGGGAGGUAAUUGAAAACUGGUGGGUAAUCUUUAAGCAAUCACGGAGCUCAGCCGUCGGGGCGGCGGCGGAUGCACGGAUGGCACCGUUUUCCACAUCACAGCCUGGGUGUUUUAUGGGGUUGGGUCUCCGAGUGGAACAGCGGUGUCAUAUUUAGCUUUCUAAUUAUAUUUCGAGAUGCUCCAGCAGCUCUCCCCGCCGCGCAGCACGUGGGGCUGAACAAAGGGGAAUUGCAGCCAUAAAAGAGAGAGAGGACGAGGUAUCAGCGGAUGGAAGAGAUAAAGAUGUUCCCUCUCCUCUUCCUGAGCUGGCUGAUAUUAAUAGGACAGGAGGCUCUCAGCUCCUGGGCACGGAGGAGAAGGCUGCAGGGUGGUUCUUUAAUGCUGCUUUGCAAUUUGCUUUCAUUCUCCGGCCCCGAAGCGGCGAUCCGUGCAGCUCCAGCGUUGCUCUCCUUGCUCAGCACCACGCGCAUCCCCAAUCCCAUCCUUGGGUGUGAGGCUGUGGGCACUGAGCUCUCAUUGCAUGGGGGUGUGGGGACCCCACGGUGCUGAGCUCCUUUUGCAUUGGGACCCCACAGUGCUGCGCUCCCAUUUGCAUGGGGGUGUGGGGACCCCACGGUGCUGUGCUCCCAUUGCAUUGGGACCCCACAGUGCUGUGCUCCCAUUGCAUUGGGACCCCAUGGUGAUGAGUUCCUUUUGCAUUGGGACCCCACGGUGCUGUGCUCCCAUUGCAUGUGUAUGUGGGGGACCCCAUAGUGCUGUGCUCCCAUUGCACGGGGAUGUGGGGAUGGAACGAUUACCCCAUACCCCAUUGCUGGAGGGCGCUGCUUUGGGCUCAGGGAUUGCUUCCACAGCCGCUUUGCUGUCCGUCUGUCCCCGCUGUCCAUCCCUCCAUCACCCAUCUCUGGUGACGUUCCCCACUCCCACACUGUGCUGAUGUGUCCCCCCCACAGAGCUGAGACCCCCGCG